rnacentral:rRNA from 1 species
CUCGGGUGACGACGCGGCGGACGGGUGAUGUAAUGUCUGGGAAACUGCCUGAUGGAGGGGGAUAACUACUGGAAACGGUAGCUAAUACCGCAUAACGUCGCAAGACCAAAGUGGGGGACCUUCGGGCCUCAUGCCAUCAGAUGUGCCCAGAUGGGAUUAGCUAGUAGGUGGGGUAACGGCUCACCUAGGCGACGAUCCCUAGCUGGUCUGAGAGGAUGACCAGCCACACUGGAACUGAGACACGGUCCAGACUCCUACGGGAGGCAGCAGUGGGGAAUAUUGCACAAUGGGCGCAAGCCUGAUGCAGCCAUGCCGCGUGUGUGAAGAAGGCCUUCGGGUUGUAAAGCACUUUCAGCGGGGAGGAAGGCGGUGAGGUUAAUAACCUUGGCGAUUGACGUUACCCGCAGAAGAAGCACCGGCUAACUCCGUGCCAGCAGCCGCGGUAAUACGGAGGGUGCAAGCGUUAAUCGGAAUUACUGGGCGUAAAGCGCACGCAGGCGGUCUGUCAAGUCGGAUGUGAAAUCCCCGGGCUUAACCUGGGAACUGCAUUCGAAACUGGCAGGCUAGAGUCUUGUAGAGGGGGGUAGAAUUCCAGGUGUAGCGGUGAAAUGC